UACGUUGCCCUUGCGUUCCUUCUUAUCAAGGUAUUCCAAGUACUGCUGCUGCUUCGCGAUGAGUCGCGCUUAUCGACUCGAGCCCUCAGCUCCUCACAAUUCUUAUUGGCCACGUUGUUCUGGGCCGUUAUUGUGUCCUUGAGAGCUUCCAUUGCUUUGACUACGUCAUCCAUCCUCUUGAUGAUGCUUGCUAGUGUAGUACCAUCUUCACCAGACGCCAGCAUGAUGUCGAUUAAUUCUUCCUUAUUUUUUUUCUAGUUAGCUGGCUACGUUGUAACGUCUUCCCUUCACCUGGCUGUUUUUGCUGACUGUUUGCCAUCAUAACGGUUGACUCAGCAAAUUUCAAGCGUGCCAAUGAGGUGGUGAGGAAUAUACGCUCGUGUAGAAUCAACAAGAUCAGGACACACAUUUACAAAUAAUCCAGCUCACUCAGGACCUGUGUUUCGAAGGACAGGUAAAGGGGUCGACCUCACACUUCAGUCCACACUUCCAAACUACGCCCACUUUUUCCGCGCUGUUAGUCCCUCGAUUUAUACAUCCCAUCUGAGACUAGCGGGAGGCAGCGACCUGAGGCUGUGGUAAUUCUGCUUGCUGUUGGCCGGUUUGCUGGACACGAAGCUUUUCACGGUUCGUCUGCUGGCUGGCACACGCGGCAGUCACACAAAACAAUCUCCUCCUUCAUCUAUAGUAGAAGAGUUCCGUACGACUUCUCAUAUAACUAAUAAAAACAGGAGAGAGGCCAGGAUAACCCCAGGGUAGUCACGGAUAGUCAGGAUAGUCGACUACUGACCUGACUACUGACUCCAAGCUGUACGGCCUCUAUGGCGGCAUUAAAAUAGUCCAGCACACUCCGCCUAUCAAGACAACUACUGCCCUGAGAGGCCUGCCACUUGCUGGUACAGCUGGAGGAGGGACUGGCAGAUGACCCACAGAAGAAGGCAACCCUGGCAGCAAUAUAUUGAAUCGUGACAAAAUAAGAGAUAAUUGGAGGGCUGUGUGUGGUGAGCUCUGCAUUGUCUCUGAGGGCAACCCCCAGAGCCACACACCAGCAGCAGGAGGAGGAGGGAAGGGCAUCCACCUCCUGCAUUACCAGGACAUCCUCCUCCUCCAGCAGCUGGCCAGGGCACAGGGCUGAGCAAAGUGGGAGUGGUGGUGGUGAUGGUAGAACUGAUAGUAGUAGUAAUAGCAAUGUUCAGUAUAGUAAUAAGAAUGAUAGUAGAGGUCUUUGAUUGUAUAUUUUUAGCAGUAUAGUAGUAGUAGUAGUAGUACCGGCAUUUGUUGAAAUAUACUGGUAAUUCUACUACUACUACUACUACUACUACUACUACUAUUAGCCAAGCCCUUUAUGCUUGUAUACAACUGAGAUGCAAACAAACACCUGGAACUGUGCACUCCCUUUAUUCAUCAAUCAUACACACAAACAACAACAACUAACAGGUAAACAACAACACAAUAAACAUGUCAUUUAAUAAUAAACAACCAACAAUAACAACAGAACAAACUCUGUGACCAUUUCUUGCAAAUUGUGAAGGAAAACAAAUGGAAAAAGAAGGAAAACAAAGAUGAUAAUAAUGGUGCUCUUUCCCCAGCAGGUGGUGACAGAGAGGGUGGCCAGCUUGCCCCUCCCUCCUGCCAGCCAGCUGCAGCAUGGGGGCGGCUGCCCUGCUGUCUGUCACCGGCCACCACACACAGCACACAGCCACAGCAAAGGCAGUGGCUGCAGUGAGGUUUACCAAGACACAAGUCCAUGCACAGGUCCAGAAUGUAAAGAUGGAAACGUGUCCUGCAGGAGGGAGCAGCACUAUGGCAGGACCCCAGAGUUUGCUGCUGUGCUAGGAAGAGGAGAGGAAUAACAGCAGCAGCAGUAGUAGUAAUAUUAGUAGUAGUAGUAGUAGUAGUCAGCAGUGGUGGGCUCUGGUGCAGCUGUUCACUCCUCCAGCUGCCUUUCCUCCCCCCUUCUCUCUCUCUCUCUCUCUCUCUCUCUCUCUCUCUCUCUCUCUCUCUCUCUCUCUCUCUCUCCACAGCCCACAGUAUGUCCCCCACAGUAUGUUUAUGAACCCACAGUGACUCCUCACAGCCCCUCACCAAUAACUGUCCCCCUCACACACACACACAUACACACACACACACACAC